rnacentral:rRNA from 1 species
GGGAGCUUGCUCCCUGAAGUCAGCGGCGGACGGGUGAGUAACACGUGGGCAACCUGCCUGUAAGACUGGGAUAACUUCGGGAAACCGGAGCUAAUACCGGAUAAUGCAUAACCUCUCAUGAGGUUAUGCUGAAAGAUGGUUUCGGCUAUCACUUACAGAUGGGCCCGCGGCGCAUUAGCUAGUUGGUGAGGUAACGGCUCACCAAGGCAACGAUGCGUAGCCGACCUGAGAGGGUGAUCGGCCACACUGGGACUGAGACACGGCCCAGACUCCUACGGGAGGCAGCAGUAGGGAAUCUUCCGCAAUGGACGAAAGUCUGACGGAGCAACGCCGCGUGAGUGAUGAAGGUUUUCGGAUCGUAAAACUCUGUUGUCAGGGAAGAACAAGUGCCGGAGUAACUGCCGGCACCUUGACGGUACCUGACCAGAAAGCCACGGCUAACUACGUGCCAGCAGCCGCGGUAAUACGUAGGUGGCAAGCGUUGUCCGGAAUUAUUGGGCGUAAAGCGCGCGCAGGCGGUCUCUUAAGUCUGAUGUGAAAGCCCACGGCUCAACCGUGGAGGGUCAUUGGAAACUGGGGGACUUGAGUGCAGAAGAGGAAAGUGGAAUUCCACGUGUAGCGGUGAAAUGCGUAGAGAUGUGGA